rnacentral:rRNA from 1 species
UAUGGUGCAAGCGUUAUCCGGUUUUACUGGGUGUAAAGGGAGCGUAGACGGAGAGGCAAGUCUGAUGUGAAAACCCGGGGCUCAACCCCGGGAGUGCAUUGGAAACUGUUUUUCUAGAGUGUCGGAGAGGCAAGUGGAAUUCCUAGUGUAGCGGUGAAAUGCGUAGAUAUUAGGAGGAACACCAGUGGCGAAGGCGGCUUGCUGGACGAUGACUGACGUUGAGGCUCGAAAGCGUGGGGAGCAAA